rnacentral:pre_miRNA from 1 species
ACAACAACAUACGGACCGUCGGUCUACAGAGCAGAUAUCAUACGCUCGGUGGAAGAUCUUCCUUUCGUCGUAUACC